ACUCGAGAAAAGGAUCUUAGUCCUACCUAAACACCCUGUAAUUAUACCAAAUAAACACUUAAAUUUAGAGCUAUUCAAAUAAGGUACAGCCUAUUUGAAAAAGGAAACAACCUAAAACAAUGGGUAUUAUUAUGAUACCCCACAACCUAGUGGGCCUAAAAGCAGCCAACUCUUAAAAAGCGUCAAACCUUAAUUGUGUCAAUCUUUAAUGCUCACACCCACACUGACCCCUUCAACAGUAUCGAGUAAUUCUAUAUUCAUAUAGAACUUUUCAUGUUAAUAUUAGUAACAAGAAGACUGACCUUCUCUUAAAUGCGAACAAAAAUCAGCAAGAACACACCACUGACAAUUAACACCCAUGGACCCUAAAUAGCAACUUAACAAGAAAAACCUCCACAACAUUCUGUUAACCUUACACAAGAGCAUUAAAAGAAAGAUUAAAAGAAAAAGAAGGAACUCGGCAAAAUUAACCUCGCCUGUUUACCAAAAACAUCGCCUCUUGCACCCAUAAGAGGUCCAGCCUGCCCAGUGACCCUGUUCAACGGCCGCGGUAUCCUAACCGUGCGAAGGUAGCGUAAUCACUUGCCCCCUAAAUAGGGGCCGGUAUGAACGGCACCACGAAGGUUUAACUGUCUCCUUUUUCUAAUCAGUGAAAUUAAUCUCCCCGUGAAGAAGCGGGGAUAAAUACAUAAGACGAGAAGACCCUAUGGAGCUUUAAAUGUUAACAACAAUUGCUCUACCACCCAACAUAGCACUAUGAUUGUUAAUUUUAGGUUGGGGCGACCACGGAGCAAAACUUAACCUCCUUGUUGAAGGAAUCAUCCUAUAGCAAAAACUAACAACUUUAAGCAUCAUUAAAUUGACAUACAUUGACCCAAUAUUUUGAUCAACGAACCAAGUUACCCUAGGGAUAACAGCGCCAUCCACCUCAAGAGCCCCUAUCGACAGGUGGGUUUACGACCUCGAUGUUGGAUCAGGGCAUCCCAGUGGUGUAGCCGCUACUAAAGGUUCGUUUGUUCAACGAUUAAAGCCCU
rnacentral:rRNA from 1 species